rnacentral:rRNA from 1 species
AUACAGAGGGUGCGAGCGUUAAUCGGAAUUACUGGGCGUAAAGCGCGCGUAGGCGGCUACUUAAGUCAGAUGUGAAAUCCCCGGGCUCAACCUGGGAACUGCAUCUGAUACUGGGUAGCUAGAGUUUAGGAGAGGGAAGUAGAAUUUCAGGUGUAGCGGUGAAAUGCAUAGAGAUCUGAAGGAAUACCAGUGGCGAAGGCGGCUUCCUGGCCUAAAACUGACGCUGAGGUGCGAAAGCGUGGGUAGCAAACGGGAUUAGAAACCCCUGUAGUCC